CUCCACGGUCGUGCCGCCACCCGUGCAUCGUACUAAAAUGUGACUCGGGGUAGUAUAGCGGGGUAGAACCGUACGUGUAUAGAAAUAGUCGUGCGCGCUGAGAGUAUAUUAUUCGUUAGUUUUAGGCAAAUAAAUAAAAUAGCGAGUAAAGUUGCUCGUAGCGUGCAACGGGGUCUUUGCGAGACGAUAGAGAGAAAGAGAGAGAGAGAGAGAGAGAGGAAAAAGAAUACACUCAUAUACCAUAGCCGCAGGAAGGGAGAAAGGUCUACCUACGACGGACAGAUAUUACGGGGGCGGCUGGGUGAAAUCAGACGCAUUCGAUCGUCGGUAGUGAUCGCGUGGAAACACGAAUGCGAUCCCGCAGUUUCGGGAACCGCCGUUGUGAACAAAUACAUAUCAUUUUAUCCUAGUUGCAGAAAAAGGUAGUAAAAAGGAGAAAAUAAGAGAGGAAGUGAGGAGGGAAGGAGGGAGGGAGCGAGAGAGAGAGAGAGAGAGAGAGAGAGAGAGAGAGAGAGAGAGAGNUGAGGAUGUUUGAAAGGAGGAGAUUUGUAAGGUGAACGAAAGAGCUAAAAAGGUCAUCGAGAAGAACAGCGAGUGCAUGAACGAGAAUAUUUGAAAGGAAGUGAAGACAGCAGGAAAGAAAGAAGAAUAGUGCGGGAUCGUUCGAGGGAGUUCCGGAAGUGAUUCCGGGGAAUUUCCGACGGUAGGAGGAAAUUCCCCGCCCGAAUGAUCGCUCGCAACUACGUGUCGUCUGUCGUGUGUAUCUUUUCUCGUGAACUGUGAUUCCUAGUGCCGUGCGGAGAGGUGGGACAGUGAUUUGCAACGACGGUAUUCAUACAGGCAGG